UCGGGCUUCGUUUGGGCUUGAUUUCAUGCUUUGUUUUAGCCCAACGUCAAACUAUGUGUCAACCCUAAUUUUUGGUGACGAACGCCUGUGUGUUCUUCGUUGCUCUUGGAAGGGCGGAUACGGUGACGAUCGAGUGUCCUAGCCGUUUCUGUAACUGAAAAUGUUGUGUUUAUUACAUCUUUAUUUCAGACUCACACUAAGAGUUCUUCAGUUGCGUUGUUCCGUCAACGAUUACGGGUAUAUAGAUCUGUAUCUCACUUCUAGAAAUCGCGAUCUCCAGAUCUCUCUGCAGGUGUUCGUCCGCUGUCGCGGCGAGGCUGCUGCAAUUCUGGGAGGCUAGGAAUGUCAACGGAGGACCAACUGACAGACGAGGAGAUCGCCGAGUUCAAAGAAGCCUUUAGCCUCUUCGACAAAUACUGUGAAUGUUGAUCGAAGGCUACAAGGUUGAUCCACGUGGGGUUGUGGCAACAUGCAUCAAUACGAAGCUUAUAGGAGUCCGUAUGUUCCUCAAUACCAAUGUCUGGAACUCAUUUCUAUUUAGACAAGGAGGCUGAAGCAGGCGAGAGCUACUUUGACAAGUGGGUCACAAAUGACACUGGAAAUACAUCAGAAGCUUCAUUGUUGAGAGGCUAUGCUAAGAGAGUAUAAUUUACCUGAUCUGAGAAAGUCACCUCUGUCAAGACAGAAAAUGGAUGGUGCUACAUAUCUUGCUCCAAGUAAAAUUACAGAGGACUAGAGGAGUGCCUCAUCUUUUGUAUGCAUGUUCUGCAAUCGGCCUAAUGUCGUUGGUGUUCUCAGGUAUCAUGUCAAGAUGACUGUUGCUAAUGACACUGACGAAUCAGUUUUUGUAAGUUUUGAUGGUGAAAUAACAAAGCUCACCAAUAUCCUGGCUGGCUGCUGAUGCUGGUCAUCUGCUGAUAUGCCGCUAUCUAACCACACAACAUCAUUUACCAUAUUGCGAAAAUGUUAAUAGUUUCACAUUACAACCAUUGGUCUAAUAGGCGUGAGAGUGAGAGAACCCAGAAGAUAACCAGCUCCCACCUUUUAUUGUUGACCUUGAUGGACGGCUGCAACGAUGGCCUUGAAGAUGACAUGCCUGGUGUCAGCUCUCACCAGGUUCCGAAACGACUUCGAGUGGUGUCAUCAACAAAAACCUCUGGACCCAGCGUUUAAUAAGUUGACCAAGAAGCCACACGCAGCUUAGGUGCAAAGUUUGCAGUAUCUGGCCACUUUAGUUGCUUUUAAAAUAAUACUUACGCAUAAUUGUGGUUUUUAAACUAUCAAAGAUAUUUUUCUGUUC